rnacentral:rRNA from 1 species
UGUAAACCUCUUUCAGCAGGGACGAAGCUGAAGUGACGGUACCUGCAGAAGAAGGACCGGCUAACUACAUGACACCAGCCGCGGUAAUAGGUACGGUGCGAGCGUUGUCCGGAUUUAUUGAGCGUAAUCAGAUCUUAUGCGGCUUGUCACGUCUGAUGUGAAAACCCUCAGCUUAACUUUGAACUUGCAGUCUAUACUGGCAGACUACAGGUAAGUAGGGGAGAAUUGAAUGUCUGGUGUAGAAGUGGAAUGCUCAUAUAUAAGGAAGAACACCGGUAGGGAAGGCGGAUCUCUGGGCCUGAACUGACGCUGAGGAACGAAAGCGUGGGGAGCGGACU